CGGGAUAACCCGGAGAAAUCCGGCCUAAUACCGCAUGUGGCCGAGGGGAGGCAUCUUCUUUCGGCCAAAGGAGGCGACUCCGGAGACGGAUGGGCAUGCGUGACAUUAGCUUGUUGGCGGGGUAACGGCCCACCAAGGCGACGAUGUCUAGGGGUUCUGAGAGGAAGGUCCCCCACACUGGUACUGAGACACGGACCAGACUCCUACGGGAGGCAGCAGUGAGGAAUAUUGGUCAAUGGGCGAGAGCCUGAACCAGCCAAGUCGCGUGAAGGAUGACGGCCCUACGGGUUGUAAACUUCUUUUGUCAGGGAGCAAUUGGGUCCACGUGUGGGCUUAGCGAGAGUACCUGAAGAAAAAGCAUCGGCUAACUCCGUGCCAGCAGCCGCGGUAAUACGGAGGAUGCGAGCGUUAUCCGGAUUUAUUGGGUUUAAAGGGUGCGUAGGCGGAAUAUCAAGUCAGCGGUAAAAAUUCGGGGCUCAACCCCGUCGUGCCGUUGAAACUGAUGUUCUUGAGUGGGCGAGAAGUAUGCGGAAUGCGUGGUGUAGCGGUGAAAUGCAUAGAUAUCACGCAGAACCCCGAUUGCGAAGGCAGCAUACCGGCGCCCAACUGACGCUGAAGCACGAAAGCGUGGGUAUCGAACAGGAUUAGAUACCCUGGUAGUCCACGCAGUAAACGAUGAA
rnacentral:rRNA from 1 species